rnacentral:rRNA from 1 species
ACGGAAGGCAGCAGUGGGGAAUAUUGGGCAAUGGGGGAAACCCUGAUCCAGCGACGCCGCGUGAGUGAAGAAGUAUUUCGGUAUGUAAAGCUCUAUCAGCAGGGAAGAUGAUGACGGUACCUGACUAAGAAGCCCCGGCUAACUACGUGCCAGCAGCCGCGGUAAUACGUAGGGGGCAAGCGUUAUCCGGAUUUACUGGGUGUAAAGGGAGUGUAGGCGGCUGUGCAAGUCAGAAGUGAAAGCCCGGGGCUCAACCCCGGGACUGCUUUUGAAACUGCAUAGCUUGAGUGCAGGAGAGGUAAGCGGAAUUCCUAGUGUAGCGGUGAAAUGCGUAGAUAUUAGGAAGAACACCGGUGGCGAAGGCGGCUUACUGGACUGAGACUGACGCUGAGGCUCGAAAGCGUGGGGAGCAAACAGGAUUAGAUACCCUGGUA